CACGGGGGGAGCAAGCGUUGUUCGGAAUCACUGGGCGUAAAGGGCGUGUAGGCGGUCAAGUAAGUGGAAUGUGAAACGCCUCGGCUUACCCGAGGACCUGCAUCCCAAACUGCUUGGCUUGAGUAUGGGAGAGGAUGAGGGAAUUCCUGGUGUAGCGGUGAAAUGCGCAGAUAUCAGGAGGAACACCAAUGGCGAAGGCAGCUCGCUGGGACGGUACUGACGCUGAGACGCGAAAGCGUGGGGAGCAAACAGG
rnacentral:rRNA from 1 species